rnacentral:lncRNA from 1 species
AUGAAUGUUGAAAUCUGUUUAGCCGUUAGCCUGCUAGUUAGCCAAAUCUCCACCUGGAUACCAAUGACGCUUAAUGCUGUUGCUGAGAUUACAGUACCAAAUGCAAAAAUGACAACAGAAGUCGAGUUUCUUCAAGAUCAAGUGAAUCGUCUAAACUCUGUCCUGGGUCGAUAUCAGGAUGAAUUUCCUCCUCCCUCCUCAGUGUCACAGGUUAGUUAUAUGAUUAGAUGGCAGUUUUAUCUGUUCAAUUAUGUAGAACAGGGGUGUCAACUCAGUUCCUGGAGGGCCAGAACCCUGCAUAGUUUAGCUUCAACACUAAUUAAACAACCCUGAUACAUCUAAUCAGGUCCUUCAGGCUUAUUUGAAAACUACAUGUUAUGUGUGUUGGACUCAGCAGGGCUCUGGCGCUCCAGGAACUGAGUUUGACACCCCUGAUGUAGAUGGUCAUCUCUAGAUAUUUACAUAAGCUCCUAUGGUGCAUAAUGAAUGCUUUAAGUGUAAAAGAAAGUUCAAUAGCUCAAUAAAUACAAAUUCUAUUAUCAUUCUCACCCUCAUGUUGUUCCAAAUCUGUAUGACUAUUUUCUUCUCUCUGUAAUGCAAAAGGAGAUAUUAGGUAGAAUGUGAGAACUAACAGCUUUAGUCAUCAUUCACUGUUAUUGCAUGAGAGUAUGAGAGCUCAUGCAGUCUCUCUCUGUCUCCUGAGUU